CUAUGCUGAGGACAACUCGUUGACCUCAUUUGAGCACAACAGAGGUGAAAUCAGCCGCGGAUGGCAGUGAUAAAUGAGUGGAUGGCCGUGGUGACUUUGAUUGCUCCUCCCCUGCGGCGUGCCCUAUGUGACGUGUGCUUGCUGCUCACCCUCCUGUAAGGUGCCUCUCCCCAAUCAGAUCUUAUGGCGUGGUCGGUUCUUAGAUUGGAUUCAUUUUUGGAUACAUAUUUGUGGUGUUCCUUGUGCGCGACUACGUCAUGCUCGCUGCUCACCCUCCCAGAAGAUAUAAAUGAACAAGCAGAGCUAUAUGUGAAGGUGCAACAAAGGGAGCAAGCAAUGCCAUGUGUGUGGUGACUAUGUGCGACAGUCGAGAGGUAGAUCUACCAUCGGGAGCAUGACGAGGCGCUCAAUGUGGAGAUGGAAAGGGACUAUGAGGUCUUUCAUAGUGGUUCUCUCUGCCCACCAUUGAGGACACCAUGGGCACCACUGCCAUAGCCGGUAGCUUAUUCCUAGAUGACGAGUAGGUGAGGUGUUCGAUUGAAUACUUGAGUGAUGAUACUUGUAUUUGAUUAGUUUCUUUUGCAACGGUUAUGCACUUUUGUACAUAUAACUCUAG